AUCUAGCUGAAUAGUUCCAAAUAGGACGAAACUCGUUUCCUGGAU
rfam:Schistosoma margrebowiei strain Zambia genome assembly, scaffold: SMRZ_scaffold0005794